GGUGGCCUGGACAUUCGACGGAAGGCAGCAGGCGUACUGCCGUGGAGCCGGGGCUGGCCUCAGAGGUGACUUUUCAUUCUCACUCCUGUCCUAGAAUCCGGGCCUGGGCAGCUGUAGGGAUGGAGGCGCUGGUUAUCAGGGCGGGAAGACCAAGAGCCCCGUUUUCCUCAGGGGGAGAAGGGUCGGGAGUUUGGACCUGCUGAGCCUGAACUAAAAGUGAAGCUAUCCGGGACACAGCCGGGACCCAGUGUGCUCUCCAGAGGGGCAGGGGAUCUGGCAGCAGGCGCAGAACAAGCUCUUGGGAGAAGUUCCGCCCAACGUCAGAGCGGGAACACGAGGGCACCCAGGGAGAAGUGUUGGAAAGCGGCCCUCCGAGAGCACGGGGCUGCACGUAAUGCCGUCUGCCUCGUCGUGACAGCAUGAAACCCUCACAAACGUGAUGCCCGAGCUUGGACUUCUCAGCCUCCGAAACGAGCCAAAGUGAUCUUAAUUCUUCUCAGUGGAGGCUACAGUGGAGUAAACGAGUUCUUGGUCCCUCAGGUAAAUGAGCUCUGACCCGCUGGCAAGUGUUCAGAGAAACAUUUGUGGAUUCACAGGAAGUUGAAAAGAUAAAGCAGAGUGGUUCUGUGGCCCUUCUCCAGCUUCCUCCAGAGGGGACCUCCCACGUGAUCGUAGCACAGUGCAAACCAGGAAGCCGGCGCUGACACAGGUAUCAGAGGUCUCUGAAAGAAAUACAAUUGGUAAACGACCGAGGUACUGGGAUAACCUCUCAGGAAUCGUUCCCCACCAGUCCUUUCCCUCCGGCGGUCUAUCAAGCUCACAGGGAAAGACUGAAAAAAGAGCAUCACCGAUGGCCCGGAUGUGAUUGCUUCCUGCACGGUACUGGGAUGUAGCCAACACUUACUGGUGGUCACAGGCACAGUGGGCAUCCACCUACCUCCGACUGCCCACCUCUGUCAACCCUCAGCUCCCGGGUGCUCUCCAGCACUUGGACAGCUCCUCCCCUCCGUGCGGGCUCUGCUCUGCUGCCAGAGGAAAUUUUCUUGUCCUGCCUGAGCUGGGAAGCGAGGAAGUGGCAGAGAUACACACACCUGAGCAAAGAGGAAUGAGCCCAAGAAUGCAUGUACCAGACUCCUGUUCUCAUCUAAAUUAUCAUGUCUAUAAUAAAUGUAUCAGUAGAGAAAAGCAUUGCAGAUACAUUUUACAGGUAGUUUGUUAAUUGUGGUACAAUGCACAUAAGCUAAAAUUUUCCAUUGUCACCGUUUCCAAGUGUAUGGAGCAGUGGCAUUGAAUACAGUCACUCUGUAAUUAAUCAUCAAGCCAUUCAACUCCAGAAUUCCAUCUUCCCAAGCUGAAACUCUGAACUCACAAACACUGACUCUACCCUACCCCAGCCCUGCCCCAGCAGUGACCACUCUACUUUAUUCCUGCGAGUGUUCUCCUCUAAG
rnacentral:lncRNA from 1 species